UGGGGAAUCUUGGACAAUGGGGGCAACCCUGAUCCAGCCAUGCCGCGUGAGUGAUGAAGGCCUUAGGGUUGUAAAGCUCUUUUACCAGGGAUGAUAAUGACAGUACCUGGAGAAUAAGCUCCGGCUAACUCCGUGCCAGCAGCCGCGGUAAUACGGAGGGAGCUAGCGUUGUUCGGAAUUACUGGGCGUAAAGCGUACGUAGGCGGUUAUUCAAGUCAGAGGUGAAAGCCUGGAGCUCAACUCCAGAACUGCCUUUGAAACUAGAUAGCUAGAAUCACGGAGAGGUGAGUGGAAUUCCGAGUGUAGAGGUGAAAUUCGUAGAUAUUCGGAAGAACACCAGUGGCGAAGGCGGCUCACUGGACGUGUAUUGACGCUGAGGUACGAAAGCGUGGGGAGCAAACAGGAUUAGAUACCCCCGUAGUCCCUGAGCGGGCUGGCAAGGCGCAU
rnacentral:rRNA from 1 species